GACGAACGCUGGCGGCGUGCUUAACACAUGCAAGUCGAACGGAAAGGCCCUGCUUUUGUGGGGUGCUCGAGUGGCGAACGGGUGAGUAACACGUGAGUAACCUGCCCUUGACUUUGGGAUAACUUCAGGAAACUGGGGCUAAUACCGGAUAGGAGCUCCUGCUGCAUGGUGGGGGUUGGAAAGUUUCGGCGGUUGGGGAUGGACUCGCGGCUUAUCAGCUUGUUGGUGGGGUAGUGGCUUACCAAGGCUUUGACGGGUAGCCGGCCUGAGAGGGUGACCGGCCACAUGGGGACUGAGAUACGGCCCAGACUCCUACGUGGGGCAGCAGUGGGGAAUAUUGCACAGUGGGCGGAAGCCUGAUACAACAACGCCGCGGGCGGGAUGACGGCCUUCGGGUUGUAAACCGCUUUCGCCUGUGACGAAGCGUGAGUGACGGUAAUGGGUAAAGAAGCACCGGCUAACUACGUG
rnacentral:rRNA from 1 species